AGGACGAACGCUGGCGGCGUGCUUAACACAUGCAAGUCGAACGGAAAGGCCCUUCGGGGUACUCGAGUGGCGAACGGGUGAGUAACACGUGGGUGAUCUGCCCCGCACUUUGGGAUAAGCCUGGGAAACUGGGUCUAAUACCGAAUAGGACCAUGGCAUGCAUGUGCUGUGGUGGAAAGCUUUUGCGGUGUGGGAUGGGCCCGCGGCCUAUCAGCUUGUUGGUGGGGUUAAGGCCUACCAAGGCGACGACGGGUAGCCGGCCUGAGAGGGUGUCCGGCCACACUGGGACUGAGAUACGGCCCAGACUCCUACGGGAGGCAGCAGUGGGGAAUAUUGCACAAUGGGCGCAAGCCUGAUGCAGCGACGCCGCGUGGGGAUGACGGCCUUCGGUUGUAACCCUGUCAGGGAUAGAAAGUUCUGAUCAUCCCCAGAGGAAGGCACGGCUAACUCUGUGCCAGCAGCCGC
rnacentral:rRNA from 1 species